CGAUCGGUAGCAAAGUUGGUCAAGGCACUCGCCUUUUAAGCGAGGUACCGCGGGUUCGAGUCCCGCCCGAUCGACCA
rnacentral:tRNA from 2 species